rnacentral:rRNA from 1 species
GUACCGCACGAACGUUAUUCGGGAAUCACUGGGGCUUAAAGGGUGCGUAGGCGGCUUGGAAGGUGGGGUGUGAAAUCCCUCGGCUCAACCGAGGGAACUGCGCUCCAAACCGCCAGGCUUGAGGGAGGCAGGGGUGAGCGGAACUGAUGGUGGAGCGGUGAAAUGCGUUGAUAUCAUCAGGAACACCAGUGGCGAAGGCGGCUCACUGGGCCUCUUCUGACGCUGAGGCACGAAAGCUAGGGUAGCGAACGGGAUUAGAUACCCCGGUAGUCCUAGCUGUAAACGAUGAGCACUGGAUCGAGGGGGCCUCCACACCCUCUCGGUCGUAGCGAAAGUGUUAAGUGCUACGCCUGGGGAGUAUGGUCGCAAAGGCUG